AUGUGGCUCCUAAUCAAGAUCAUCCACCACAUGAUCAAGUUCAAAGGGGCCAUCGCGAAGCUCGAGGAGGCGGCGGCGCGCGCCCACGACCGUCCGGCGAGGCUGGACCAGCUGCGAUCGGCCUGCCACCACCUGACAGGCGUGGACAGCCACCUCAGCAGAAUGCACGACUUCCUCGAGAGCGACCUCCCCGGCGACGACCGGCUGGGGAUCUGGGGCCGGCGGGGCGCCGGCAAGACGUCGCUCCUCACGCCGCUCCAUCAGCCCAGGCCGUACCACGCGCUCUUCGACCGCGUGCUCUACCUCGCGCUGGGCGGCAGCUCCUCGGUGGCGGACGUGCGGCGCUGCAUCGGCAUCUGCCUGGGCUACUACAGCCACGGCGAGCUGACGCCGGCGGACGAGCGGGCCCUGGCCCGCCUCAUCCGCCGGGACCUGUCGCGCAGAAGCUUCCUGCUGCUGCUGGACGGGCUGGGGGCCCCCGUCGACCUGGCGGCGGCCGGCGUCCCGGUGCCGCUCGGGAAAAGCGGCCGGCGGCAGAAGGUCGUCGUGGCCUCGGAGACCCCCGACGUGUGCGCCCUCAUGGGGUGUGCCGCGGACAACGUCGUCGAGAUCGGGCGCCUCGGGGAAGACGACGCGUCGGGCCUCUUCAGAGACUGCGUGGGGGAUAAAAUCCUCCAAAAUUCUCGGAUUCGGCCGCUCGCCAAGGAGAUGGCUGAAGCCUGUGGAGGAUUGCCACUGGCACUAAGGAUGUUUGGUUGCCCGAUGUCUGCUAUAGAACAUGCAGAUGAAUGGAGUUUUCUCCACCACUUCAAUGUGAUGACCAUCUCCGACGGAGAACCGAUGCGAGAAAGACGUUGA
rnacentral:rRNA from 1 species